rnacentral:rRNA from 1 species
ACUCCUACGGGAGUCAGCAGUGGGGAAUAUUGCACAAUGGGGGAAACCCUGAUGCAGCCAUGCCGCGUGUGUGAAGAAGGCCUUCGGGUUGUAAAGCACUUUCAGUAGGGAGGAAGGUAGUGUAGUUAACACCUGCACUAUUUGACGUUACCUACAGAAGAAGCACCGGCUAACUCCGUGCCAGCAGCCGCGGUAAUACGGAGGGUGCGAGCGUUAUCCGGAUUUAUUGGGUUUAAAGGGUCCGUAGGCGGGUUAAUAAGUCAGUGGUGAAAUCCCAUCGCUUAACGAUGGAACUGCCAUUGAUACUGUUAGUCUUGAAUGAGGGUGCAGUGGUUGGAAUGUGUAGUGUAGCGGUGAAAUGCAUAGAUAUUACACAGAACACCGAUUGCGAAGGCAGAUCACUAACCCUAAAUUGACGCUGAGGGACGAAAGCGUGGGGAGCGAACAGGAUUAGAUACCCUGUAGACUGUC